AUGUAACUCACGUGUUUUUCGAAAAUCUUGUUAAAAAGAAAGUAUAGUUAAUGGUGUUGAAUAUGAGAUAUCUAAGUACCCUGCCAAAAGAAUUAAACCAAAUUUUUGUUAUUUUCAGAUUAAUGUUGCUGAUUGGAGUGGAAACUCAUGGUUGAGCAUGUUUACAACAGAAGCUGAAACUAUUCUAGGCAUGCCAGCACAGGAAAUAGGAGAUGCGAUAGAAAACAACUCUGAGGCAGCAGCUGGUAUUGUAGAAAGAGUCAAUUUCAAACAGUUCAUCUUUAAAUGCAGAGCUAAAAUGGAAACUUACAAUGUAAUAAAUUUCUUCAGGCAAAUUUUAGGGCAGAAAGACUUAUGGAUGAAGCACGUCUGAAAACAAUUGCCGUAGAAGUUAAAACAAUAGAUUAUAAAGACUUGAAUAACCAAGUCAUUAAAAGAAUUAAACAGUUGAUGGGUUAAUUGAAUAUUAUUUAGUUGUGAUUAUACAUUUUUGGUGAAGUUUAUUUACAUUUACUCCACAAUAAAAUAAUGGUUGAUACAAUAUUAUAACAUUGAAUUUUUCUUAUUACAUUUUUCAAACAAUAAAAUAAUAGUUAAUGUGUA